ACUCCUACGGUGAGGCAGCAGUGGGGAAUAUUGCACAAUGGGCGAAAGCCUGAUGCAGCAACGCCGCGUGAGGGACGAAGGCCUUCGGGUUGUAAACCUCUUUUAGUAGGGAAGAAGCGAAAGUGACGGUACCUGCAGAAAAAGCACCGGCUAACUACGUGCCAGCAGCCGCGGUAAUACGUAGGGUGCAAGCGUUGUCCGGAAUUAUUGGGCGUAAAGAGCUCGUAGGCGGUUUGUCGCGUCUGCUGUGAAAACCCGAGGCUCAACCUCGGGCCUGCAGUGGGUACGGGCAGACUAGAGUGCGGUAGGGGAGAUUGGAAUUCCUGGUGUAGCGGUGGAAUGCGCAGAUAUCAGGAGGAACACCAAUGGCGAAGGCAGAUCUCUGGGCCGUAACUGACGCUGAGGAGCGAAAGCAUGGGGAGCGAACAGGAUUAGAUACCCUGGUAGUCCAUGCCGUAAACGUUGGGAACUAGAUGUGGGGACCAUUCCACGGUCUCCGUGUCGCAGCUAACGCAUUAAGUUCCCCGCCUGGGGAGUACGGCCGCAAGGCUAAAACUCAAAGGAAUUGACGGGGGCCCGCACAAGCGGCGGAGCAUGCGGAUUAAUUCGAUGCAACGCGAAGAACCUUACCAAGGCUUGACAUAUAGAGGAAACGGCUGGAAACAGUCGCCCCGCAAGGUCUCUAUACAGGUGGUGCAUGGUUGUCGUCAGCUCGUGUCGUGAGAUGUUGGGUUAAGUCCCGCAACGAGCGCAACCCUCGUCCUAUGUUGCCAGCACGUAAUGGUGGGAACUCAUGGGAUACUGCCGGGGUCAACUCGGAGGAAGGUGGGGAUGACGUCAAAUCAUCAUGCCCCUUAUGUCUUGGGCUUCACGCAUGCUACAAUGGCCGGUACAAAGGGCUGCAAUACCGUAAGGUGGAGCGAAUCCCAAAAAGCCGGUCUCAGUUCGGAUUGAGGUCUGCAACUCGACCUCAUGAAGUCGGAGUCGCUAGUAAUCGCAGAUCAGCGACGCUGCGGUGAAUACGUUCCCGGGCCUUGUAC
rnacentral:rRNA from 1 species